CGCGUAGGCGGUGCUGGGAGUCGCGUGUGAAAGCCCCGGGCUCAACCUGGGAAUGGCGCGCGAUACUCUGGUACUGGAGUUCGGGAGAGGAGCGUGGAAUUCCCAGUGUAGAGGUGAAAUUCGUAGAUAUUGGGAAGAACACCGGUGGCGAAGGCGGCGCUCUGGACCGACACUGACGCUGAGGCGCGAAAGCGUGGGGAGCAAACAGGAUUAGAUACCCUGGUAGUCCACGCGGUAAACGAUGUGUGCUAGACGUUGGAGAGCCUAGCUCUUCGGUGUCGCCGCUAACGCUUUAAGCACACCGCCUGGGGAGUACGGCCGCAAGGUUAA
rnacentral:rRNA from 1 species